AUGCAUGUCUAAGUAUAAACACUUUGUACUGUGAAACUGCGAAUGGCUCAUUAAAUCAGUUAUCGUUUAUUUGAUUGUACCUAUACUACUUGGAUAACCGUAGUAAUUCUAGAGCUAAUACAUGCGAAAAGUCCCGACUUAUCACGGAAGGGAUGUAUUUAUUAGAUUAAAAACCAAUGCGGCUAGCAUCCGCCAGCCGGAUCGUUGGUGAUUCAUAGUAACUGUUCGAAUCGCAGGGCCUUUGCGCCGGCGAUGUUUCAUUCAAAUUUCUGCCCUAUCAACUUUCGAUGGUAAGGUAGUGGCUUACCAUGGUGACAACGGGUGACGGAGAAUUAGGGUUCGAUUCCGGAGAGGGAGCCUGAGAAACGGCUACCACA
rnacentral:rRNA from 1 species